AACGAACGCUGGCGGCAUGCCUAACACAUGCAAGUCGAACGAAGGCUUCGGCCUUAGUGGCGCACGGGUGCGUAAUGCGUGGGAAUCUGCCCUUAGGUACGGAAUAACCCAGGGAAACUUGAGCUAAUACCGUAUAAUGACUUCGGUCCACGGAUUUAUCGCCUGAGGAUGAGACCGGGUCGGAUUAGCUUGUUGGUGAGGUAAAAGCUCACCAAGGCCACGAUCCGUUGCUGGUCUGAGGGGAUGAUCAGCGACACUGUGACUGAGACACGGCCCAGACUCCUACGGGAGGCAGCAGUGGGGAAUAUUGGACAAUGGGCUAAAGCCUGAUCCAGCAAUGCCGCGUGAGUGAUGAAGGCCUUAGGGUUGUAAAGCUCUUUUACCCGGGAUGAUAAUGACAGUACCGGGAGAAUAAGCCCCGGCUAACUCCGUGCCAGCCGCCGCAGUAA
rnacentral:rRNA from 1 species